UGGGGAAUAUUGCACAAUGGGCGCAAGCCUGAUGCAGCCAUGCCGCGUGUGUGAAGAAGGCCUUCGGGUUGUAAAGCACUUUCAGCGGGGAGGAAGGCGAUAAGGUUAAUAACCUUGUCGAUUGACGUUACCCGCAGAAGAAGCACCGGCUAACUCCGUGCCAGCAGCCGCGGUAAUACGGAGGGUGCAAGCGUUAAUCGGAAUUACUGGGCGUAAAGCGCACGCAGGCGGUCUGUCAAGUCGGAUGUGAAAUCCCCGGGCUCAACCUGGGAACUGCAUCUGAUACUGGCAAGCUUGAGUCUCGUAGAGGGGUGUAGAAUUCCAGGUGUAGCGGUGAAAUGCGUAGAGAUCUGGAGGAAUACCGGUGGCGAAGGCGGCCCCCUGGACGAAGACUGACGCUCAGGUGCGAAAGCGUGGGGAGCAAACAGG
rnacentral:rRNA from 1 species